GUGGCAUGUUCACAAUCAAGUACAUGGAACAUUGGAACGGGGCAACACUAGCACAUUCAAUCGCAAAGGACAAGAUGCAUCUUUAUCAAUUGAGGCUGGUCGUUACUUUGGUUACUAAUGCGGCAAACAAUGCUAGAGAUAAGGUCUUGAAGGCAUGUCGAAUUUGAUUAAUAGAGGCCAACUUGGACAGACAAGGUCAAUGAUGGAAUCGUACUUGCAUGAGAAUGGGGCUGGUGGUGCCGGCAGUGCAUAAUCAGAAGAAUCUGGAGGUGGUUCGUAAACUAGGAAAGCAUUAAGAAAAGAAGAACAAGAAAAUACCAAGGUUUUCCUCAUUAAUGCGAUCUCACUUGCACAUGCCAGUUGCGACAAUUGGAAAACAAGAUGGUUGACAACCAUAAAGACAUGAGCAAUGUUACAAUUCGGAAUCGUGGCUGCUGGAGAAAGGGAUGUGAUCAUAAGACAUUCUCAUCAUGACUCAGACUUUAUAAUAUAACUGUUCCUAGUUUGAUUUUUGUUUGUAAAUGUAGGCAUGCCCAAUACCGAAGCCCUCUAAAAACUAUAUAGAUACAUCAUAAUUGGUUUUUUGGUUUACCAUUUUUACUUUGGGAACCCAUUGCAUA